CCACGCUGCGAUUCAGGACACGGCCGGGUGGAAAGAGAUAAAUGGGGCAGUGGUUAAAAUGAGGGUAAAUCUGAGGUGUGGGUACUGACAUGGGCUUUCAGGUGGGCUCUUUUUGUUGCCACGGCAACUUCAGGUGCAACAGAUGCUGUCAGGAGUGAGGAAGGUCAAAGGUCAGUCUUCAUGGGUAUUUGGGACGCAGCCGCCUGCUUUCAUGAGUUAUAUGAUUAUGUAGGAAAAAUGAUCGGGACGUGUGGAGCUCCUCAAGACGCUGCCUACAGAGGGAACACAUGCUCCUGGUGCUGACACAGAGUUAAACUUGAAGGUGAAGAUGGCUCCACAUCCUCCUCCUGACUCUGGGAUUUUCUGCUUUAUCUGAGAGCCCGAGAUUUCCUCAUGCUGUACCAGGUGAAAAUAGAUCCGUUACUGUCCAGAGAUAAAUUCACGCUCAUAUUUAAUAAAUCUCCUGCUGCCCCUCACCCUCCCAGCUGGGCAGCUUAAACUUCUCCAGGGGCAGUUAGUGAAACAUUUACAGUUGUGUAACACACUCAGUGCUUGUUAUUAUACACUCGAAGCCAAAGUAAAGUUCAGAGUCACGUUCUGCAGAACCGUUCUUCAUCAACGUUCUUCAUCCCCAAAACCCGAGACGUGAUGAUGCUCAGGAAGUUUAUUCCUCCUAAAAAACAUAGCACGUUCAGGAGGCGAUUGUUGGCUCCUCGUCACAGGAACACGGUGAAUCACAUCGUGGGUCAGGAAGAGUCACUCAAACAGAAGCAUGAAAGCAGAGAGGAGUCUGUUCUGGCCUUCCUCGGGAUCACGUGCACCAUCCUCAAUCUCCUGGUCAUCAUAUUCGUCUACAUCUACACAUCCCUGUGAUCGAGGAUCCUCUCAGCGAGAACGUGGCGUCAGGUCAAAUCUAUUGUGGUUUUCAUAUAAAAUGUGAAUUUGAAUAUAAACGGGUUUAUAAUGUAAAAUCUUUUAGCUUUCUGUGGCUGUAUGUGAUGUGCUGCAGGUUACAAAUCCUUAAAGGAGGACAAUAUAUCAAUAAUCAAAUUGAUCUUAUUUAAAAAUAUCGAACAAAUAAACGUGUUUUAUUGUCAAAAAAAAACCUCAACAUUGUGUACACUUAAAAACCAAUAAAAUACAGUCAAAUAAAA